UCGGGCAGAGCUGCCGCAGGAGGGAGAGAGCGGCCGGUGCUAGGGGCAGCGCCAUGGCCGAGAGAUGCGACGUGGUCGUGGUCGGGGGCGGCAUCUCAGGUCUUUCAGCAGCCAAACUACUGACUGAGUCAGGCUUGAAUGUGGUAUUGCUGGAAGCCAAUGAUAGAGUUGGUGGAAGAACUUUCACCGUAAGGAAUAAGCAAGUUAAAUAUGUGGACCUUGGAGGAGCCUAUGUGGGGCCAACACAGAAUCGUCUCCUGCGGUUAUCUAAAGAGUUAGGAAUAGAGACGUAUAAAGUGAAUGAAGAGGAGAACCUGAUACACCAUGUCAAGGGUAAGUCUUACCCCUUUAAAGGUACAUUCCCUCCUAUGUGGAAUCCGCUGGCAUACCUGGACUACAACAAUCUGUGGAGGACCAUGGAUGAAAUGGGAAAGGAGAUUCCUAGUGAAGCCCCGUGGAAAGCUCCACAUGCAGAAGAAUGGGACAAAAUGACGAUGCAAGAUCUCAUAGAUAAAAUUUGCUGGACAAAUGCUGCCAAGAGUUUUGCAACUCUGUUUGUGAAUGUGGAUGUCACUUCUGAGCCCCACGAGGUCUCUGCCCUUUGGUUUUUGUGGUAUGUGAAGCAGUGUGGGGGGACAACAAGGAUAUUUUCAACAUCCAACGGAGGACAGGAGAGGAAGUUUGUUGGGGGCACUAGCCAGAUCAGUGAGAAAAUAAUGGAGCGCCUGGGAGGCCGGGUGAAGCUGAGGAAACCAGUCAUCCGCAUCGACCAGUCGGGUGAAAGUGUCAUAGUGGAAACCUUAGAUCAUGAAUUAUAUGAGGGUAAAUAUGUGAUCAGUGCCAUUCCCCCAGCUCUUUGUUUGAAGAUUCAUUUCAACCCACCUUUGCCCCCAAUGAGAAACCAGCUCAUCAACCGAAUCCCCAUGGGCUCAGUCAUCAAGUGCAUUGUAUACUAUAAGGAAACUUUCUGGAGGAAAAAGGGAUAUUGUGGUACCAUGAUCAUUGAAGAUGAAGAUGCUGCAGUUGAUUUAACACUUGAUGAUACUAAGCCUGAUGGCAGCUUUCCUGCCAUAAUAGGCUUCAUUCUCGCUCGGAAGUGUAGAAGACUAACAGGUCUCACGAAAGAAGAAAGGAAGACGAGGCUGUGUGAGCUCUAUGCAAAGGUUCUGGGAUCAGAGGAAGCUUUAUAUCCAGUGCAUUACGAAGAGAAGAAUUGGUGUGAAGAGCAGUAUUCUGGGGGUUGCUACACAGCCUACUUCCCACCAGGCAUAAUGACUCAGUAUGGAAGGAUUAUUCGUCAGCCUGUUGGCAGGAUCUAUUUUGCUGGCACAGAGACAGCCACUGAGUGGAGCGGAUACAUGGAGGGGGCAAUACAAGCUGGAGAGAGAGCAGCCAGAGAGAUACUGUUUGCUAUGAGGAAAAUCCCAGACAGUGAAAUUUGGAAGCCAGAACCUGAAUCAGUUGAUGUUCCAGCUUUACCCAUCACUACCACCUUCUGGGAGAGGAACUUGCCAUCUGUGCCGGGACUGCUCAAGCUGAUUGGAUGUUCCACUGUCAUCACCUCUCUGGCUGCAGCUGGGUUAUUGGCCUACAAAAAGGGACUUCUACUUAGGAACUGAAGAAAGGAUACUCUGCCAAAUGUUACCACCUUGAGGACUUUAUCCAGAUCUCGGAACAGAAGUGGCAAAAUACCUCUGUAAAGACUGUUCUGAUGAGAUUUCCAGUUGUUUUUACACUUAAUGUCUGUACCAGACUCUGAACUCCAAGACAUCACAGGCACUUCCAUCACUAGUUGUAUUACAAAGGAUUUCUGUCUUUUUUCUGUGUGGUAGACUGAGUAAAGAAAUCCAUAGCUUAAACACCAUGUCUUGCUACAGUUAUGCUGUGGAGCUUGUCACCACCGUGGGAUUAAAAAGAAGGAUUUGCUGCUGUUCCCUCAACAACUUCCACAUAAAAGGAAUAUGUGGCACUGUGUGUAUGUGGAUGCCAGUGAUGAGAAAAAUGACAAAUGUAGGUACAGAAUCAAGUUGCUUCACCAUGGGUAGAGGGAACUGUUAGGUCUGGCUCACAUUUGAAAAAUCCCUUUGUGCCAACCCUUCAAAGAGAGGAAUGAAAUCCGACUGAGCAGGUAACUAGUCCUGCUAUAUUAGUUGAUUUACAUGUUUGAUGAGAAAUCUGCUGUCACGGAAGUUUCAGCAGUUUACUGGCUUCCUACUAUGUAUUAUAAGAACAACCAUGGAAAUAAUUGUA